GAUAUGGUCCCAGGACAGCCAAGAUGGUGGUUUCCUGUCUCUUUCGGGAUGUGUUUGGAGGGUGACCCUGGAGUCGAGGAGGCACUAAAUUCCAGGAGAAAAUGACACGAUGGGGACGGCGCUGGCGGUUGCCCCGCACACUGCCAGCUAAGGGAACUUUCUAGCCCCUGGCGCUGGGGUGAGGGACAGGGGCAGGGGCAGGGCGGUUCCCAGAGCCUCACUUUCUAAGUCGUCUACACUGCACUCCUGGGGGGCCAGACUGCUCGGCGCACCCCGAUUCCAAGAACCGCACCCCAAUUCCGGGAAUCGCGCUGGCCUGCGAGGUGGAUGCACUCUUACAGUAAGGACAUGGUGUCCCCUGGACAUCCGAGCUCUGUGCGGGAUCCGGGUGUGAGAUCCCCGUGCGCGACAGGGGCGUGAGCGGGAGUACCCUGGGGCUUUUAUGCCCACCCAAUGCUCAGACCUUGGAUCCUGGAGCUGGGAGCGAAAGGGUGGGGACCCGGACCGAUCGUGCUGUCCCUACCUGCGCCGUUCAUCUUCCUGCCGCUGCAGCCGCGACCCUGGGUUUUUUGGUUUUUCUCUUACUCUUGCACCCUCAGGAUUGGAGCAGGUGAGGGUGACUGCGUCCUGUGUGCAUUGGAAGAGAUCUGGCCCUUGGGGACCUCGGAGCCUGGAGGACUUGGCAAGAAUGCGGGGACCUUCUGGUCCACUGGCCCAGUAUCUCCAGUCCCUGACUGGGUCCUGUGUUUCUGUGUUUCUGUUCUGUGAGGACUGCUUUCCAUCACUGAGGACACAUCAGGCUGUGACAAAGGAAAUCCCAGCCCAAGAGUUACAGCUGUGGCACUGUCAGCCCCAGGCCAGUGCUGGCUUCCUGGGCUACACAGGGCUGGGGAUUUCAGCAGAAGUGGGUGGUGGACCCUCAAUUUAUGCUCCUCUGAGCCCAGAGAGGAGUAGAAAGCUGUCUCUGGGGUCUCAGGACAUCGUUGUACAUGUCACCCUCUGUCUUCUCUGUGUUGGGGGUAAGAGAUCACUUGAAAUGGGGACAGAUGAAUGGGACACUUGUCUGCUGCACUCUGCUGUCCCUCAAGAGCUCAUGGUGGUGUCAGAAAUAGGGGCUGAGGGCCAGUGACUUACAUGGCACCAGGUGGGGAGUGGGGCUGCGUGGAGCUCAGGCACUGGGCUUCCCAGGGAAGCAGCAAGGAAGGGACGAGCCUGAGGUGAGGCCUGGAGAAGCACAAGGUGGCACACGGGGGUGCCGAGAGAACUGUGCUGUGGGCAGGCCAGGAGCAUGUAUAAGAGAAACUGAGCCAUUGGCCACUGGCCUGAGCGUGAACCUCGUCCUGCUGGGAAUGGGAGCCGGGGGCUGUCUGUGGGGAGGGAAUGGUGUGGUGACACCACUUGGUGAGAGGUCGGGUCAAGCUUAGAGGCAACCUAUGAGGCAAAGGCAGAGGCAGAGCCAUGGAAGAUCAGGCCUGAACUUAGCCAUGUAUGCUGGAGGGCUUCCUGGAGGAGGCAGGCUUUGCUCGUUGACCUUUCAGAGCUGGCUAGGCUGUAGGCUGGGUGGGUGGAAAGGGGCCCAUGGGCCGGGGUGGGAGGGCAAGGAUGGUGGGCAGGGCCUCCACUGGCUCCCCAAGGAAGGGUGGGGGCCUGGGCAGGGCCGCCUGGUUAUCAUUGGGUGGGGUCAAGGUCUAGGAGGAAGCGGCCACCCUCUUCCGCCAGGCACUUUUCCCUCGCCCGUCGGGCUGGUGGCCGCUGGCCGCACCCGAGGCCAGCUCUCUUCGAGGCCCAGGCUGGUCCAACACACACCCAGCAGCAGGGGCCUGGCUGGCUUCCUGCCCUCUUGGGUGGGCGGGUGGUGGGAGGAAAACUGCCCUGAGCCUCCUCCAAAACAGGAAACUGCUCUCCUGCUUCCUGGAGGACAGGAACUAUCCCCAUGGCAACUGUGGGACAAAGGGGCUGCAUUAACCCUUCCCAGGGCGGGCCUGGCUGGCGUGGCCACUGGCCAGCCUCUUCUGGUAUGGCACUGGGCAGGUGACUUGCCCUGAGCUCCCCCCAUUAGCUGAGUGAAACAUGGAGAAGACUCUGGGCUGAGGGCUGGCCACACAGGAAGCCGAGGGCCACCAUAGGACAGCUAGGCCUGGGGCCAGGCAUCUGUCUCUGCGCCAGGGGAGCAAAGGUGUGCAAGGCACUGUGUGGGUACCCUGGAACAUUGCUGGUCUGUUCCCCACAGCCUAGGCCUGGGGUACACAGACACUGACAAAACUCUGUCCCCAGGCAGACCUUAUGGCCGAGAAGGCUGCAAUCCUUGGGACAGCUAACGGAAGGAGUGAGGAUAGGAGUGGGGUGGUAGGGGACUGCAGCCCCAGGCCACGGGGUGUGAGGCUCUGGGUUCAGGCUGGCCCUGCCUCCCUCCCAAUAUGCCCUGCUGGGCUUCGGUCAGCAGAGUCUCAGGACACGAGAGGUGUCUUUCUGGGGACCUCACCUGGUGUGAAACCUGCAAAGGCCAAACGCAGGGAGAGGCAGCCCUGGGCUGUGGUGAUGGGGGCCAAGGAGCGGGAGGCCCUGUGCCUGAUGCUGGAUGCUGGCAGCCUCAGGAGCCCAACCUUCCCUUCACUAGUGAUGCCCCGAGGCUGUGUUGGGGACACAGUCCCAGCUGGAGGCAGCAAGCACUACAGCUCUGUGUUGCUCUGAAAAGGGGACCUUUUCUGCUGUCCCUCCUGUGGCCCCUGGGUCCCCUCAGCGCCCGCCUCCACAUUGCUUUGCCACUGUCUCUUCCCCAACCCUGGGUUUACCAUACCAGCUUCUCCCUCUGCGAGCCUUAGAGCCUUGCUUCUUCCAGCCCCAGGGCCUUUGAGCCUACUAUUCCAGCCCAUGGCCAGACUGUCUUCCUUGCCACUACCGCUGAGUCCCUUUCCAUGACACCCUCAACACCAAGCCUUAGACACUUGAUGCAUCUCUCCCUACCCACACACACCUAGAAUACAGUGUAACAUGUAAAUGAAGCCUGGUGAGAGAUUAGCACCAAUAAUCAUAAGAGUGGCUGUGACAAUAUACUGCGGUAAAAGUUAUCUAAAACAUGCCUCAAUUGUCUGUAAUUUCCCACAUAGUAUUUUCAGACUGCAUUGGCCAUGGGCCUGUUGGUCUGAAGUAGAGCCUGCAUUCCGUGGCCUAAGACCCCAACACCCCCAGAGCCCAUCAACAGCAGCUGCUGUGACCUGCGCCAGGUGGUCACCAAACUUCCUCACCUUGCCAUGGGACCCAAGGCGUCAGGGGAGUUAGCUGAGGACUGGAUCCAAAGACUAACUGCUCACGCUGAGGCAGAGCCACUGUGUCUCUGGCUGUUGUGUGAGUUCUUCUGCAAGCCUGAGGGACAAAGACUCUGGCCUGGAGGUUGCUUUGGCAGAGGUUGUACAUCUCAGGGGGCAGAAGGCUGAACAAAACCGUGCCACUUAAGGCCAAUCAGUCCCAGGGUUCCCUCCAAAGGCAAAUGCCCACAGGGGACCUAGGAUCUCCCCCAGGCUUGCCCAGCUGGGGUUGGGUCUGAGGACCUUUGGACUCAACCUACAACAGGCAGGUUCCAUCCCCAAGAACUGCUGGGCUGGUAUGUGUGUUGACUACAUCACUCCCAUGUUAUGGAUGAGUAAACUGAGGCUCCAAGGGGUGCACUGCAUGCCCCAAGGUUCCUGCCUUCUCUGAUAUCUCCCAGAGCCUCUGUACAACCAGGAAUGAGAGGCUCAAGGUGAACUUGUGGGGUAUCAUGGUCAGCGCAGAGGUGUGGGGACCCGAGCUUCCCACCAGCAGAGUUGGGUUGGGUGAGAUGAGGUGAGUCCUGGUAGAGCCUGGAGUCUUCCUUCAGAGAAAUGGGGUCCAGGCUCAUGGCCCUGUUAAAAGGAGGGGGCUGUGGGGAGGUCAGGAGUCUCAGUAGGGGCCAUCAAGAGGGCCGAGAAUGAGAACACUGGUGAUCCCUUCCCCAGGUGCCUGGUGUCCUGCUGGGGGUUCCCAGGAAGAAGGCAUGCAGGCUGGCUCUGCAGAGAGGUGGCAAUGUCACCUUCCCAGGCACCAGGAGAAUGGUAGCUUGAGACGGGAGCAUUAAUUUAUUUUCCUGCUAGAGCCUGGUCUCUGCAGACCUUAUUAAUUAACUUAAUGGUGCCUGUGCAGCCAGGCAUGCACACAGAGAAUGCUAAGGAAAGUGUGACCCCCGUCACAGCACUGUCCCUUGCUGUCCCCUUCCCACCAAGCCCAGCCACCCAGAGAAACGCAUCCAGCUGGCCCACCCACCUCACUGCCAUGGUGCUCCAUCCCUCUAGAAAAGGUGGCCAGUGGCACCCAGCACAUCCUGUGGGAGCAGCCUGCUCCUUGUCAGCUUAGGAGUCAGGGAGGAGGGCCAGGCACAAGGGCUACCAAGGCCAGCAGGAACCCCAAUUGGCUUCCUACCAUGUGAGCUGGGGAUGGACAGAGCCUUGGACAGUCCUUCCCUCCUAGGCCAUCCUCUCCCCUUGGAGGACAAACUGCAGCCUGCUUGGGGAGGCUUGAUGCUACCAUGAGGGUCAUUGACAUAUCCGACCCAGUGCAGGCAGCAACCAGGAAGGUGUCCUCCAGCAGGAGAGGUUUGUGUCCCAGGCCAGAUCGACCCAAAAGCCUAGAGGGAUUUGCCUCCAGCUGUAGGCCCAGCCUCAACACCCCGUGCUCCACUGUGGACUGGCAGUGUCCCACCCCCAAAGUGGGAGCUGAUAGUGGUGUCAAGUCUCUAUUUUAAUUAAGUAGUUAAUUCAUCUAUUUUGAGGCAAGGUCUCAUUCUGUAGCCCAGGCUUGCCUCCCACUCACAGUGAUCCUUCUGCCUCAGCUUCCUGAGUGCUGGGAUCAUCUUUUCACAGACAAGGACACAGAAGCCCAGAGACUGGCUGCAGACCAUGGCUGGUGAUGGGGAAGAUGGGAUCCGGGUCUGCUGUGACUGCUCCUUCAGUCUCAACUCAGAGGUUUCCUGAGACAGAGACAGUUUGGCCUCCACAGUAGCAUAGCAGCAUUGGGCGGGAGCAGGGGCUGUCAGGUCCUGGGCACCCCAGAUGGGCGCCCAGCCUCAGCACCCCGUGCUCCACUGUGUGGACUGGCAGUAGCCCCACAGCCUGGCUCCUCCCCAGCAGCCAGGGAACCCUGCUCACCAGCACCUUCUGGGGCCAGGGCUUCCGGACCAGACCCGUCUGUUUGGGUAGGGGCAUCUGUGGUCUGGUUCUUCACCCAACUGAGAAACUUGGGGACCACAUAGAGUAGAACAGCAGCGUGAGACUUUCCAGAUGGUGUGAGCUGGGGACAGGAGAAGCCAGGUGCCCAGCAUGUGGCCACAGUGUCACUGCACCAGUCCCAGUGCUGGUCCCAGCCCAGCACAAGGCGGGUGCUACACUGCAUGGAUGAAACAGCACGUGCGCUGCUACUCUGAGGUGGAGAUGCAGAUGGGUAAACUGAGGCUUGGGAAAGCUCCUGCAGCCAGAGGCUCCUAAAGCCCACGUCCUGUGUGUCUGCUGCACUUCCUCACCGACCCAGACCCAGCCUUCCUUUUCUUGACCCCAGCAAGGAGAGUGUUUACCUCAGCCAGAGUUUAUUCUCCCAGUUUUCCAACUGUUGAUCCCAAGCGUUCCACACAUGUCCCGCGAAGAAAAACAUGUUUUCCUCACUCGGCUCUCAACUUCCAAACAGCACCGCAUGCUGAGGGCCUGGGCUCCGCUGAGGAAAGCGUGGGGUGACUUUCCCUUGGCCAUUUGAUGUUUUUCCAUCGCACGGUCAGGGGACAACAAAACAUGUUUUCCUUUUUCUCCAAAGGAUUGGAACUUUCUGAUUGACCACUCAGUCCUGAAACUUGAACUGUUCCCCCGCUAUUGUCUUUGGGCAGAUGAGACGUGUAGGUUCAUGGAAAAUAAAGGACUGUCGCUUGUUUUACUCAA